rnacentral:rRNA from 1 species
UACAGAGGUCUCAAGCGUUGUUCGGAUUCAUUGGGCGUAAAGGGUGCGUAGGUGGCGCGGUAAGUCGGGUGUGAAAUUUCGGAGCUUAACUCCGAAACUGCAUUCGAUACUGCCGUGCUUGAGGACUGGAGAGGAGACUGGAAUUUACGGUGUAGCAGUGAAAUGCGUAGAGAUCGUAAGGAAGACCAGUGGCGAAGGCGGGUCUCUGGACAGUUCCUGACAGCUGAGGCACGAAGGCCCAGGGGAGCAAAACGGG